AGUGAACGCUGGCGGUAGGCCUAACACAUGCAAGUCGAACGGCAGCACAGUAAGAGCUUGCUCUUACGGGUGGCGAGUGGCGGACGGGUGAGGAAUACAUCGGAAUCUACUUUUUCGUGGGGGAUAACGUAGGGAAACUUACGCUAAUACCGCAUACGACCUACGGGUGAAAGCAGGGGAUCUUCGGACCUUGCGCGAUUGAAUGAGCCGAUGUCGGAUUAGCUAGUUGGCGGGGUAAAGGCCCACCAAGGCGACGAUCCGUAGCUGGUCUGAGAGGAUGAUCAGCCACACUGGAACUGAGACACGGUCCAGACUCCUACGGGAGGCAGCAGAGGGGAAUAUUGGACAAUGGGCGCAAGCCUGAUCCAGCCAUACCGCGUGGGUGAAGAAGGCCUUCGGGUUGUAAAGCCCUUUUGUUGGGAAAGAAAAGCAGCAGGUUAAUACCCCGCUGUUCUGACGGUACCCAAAGUACAAGCACCGGCUAACUUCGUG
rnacentral:rRNA from 1 species